UACGUAGGGUGCAAGCGUUAAUCGGAAUUACUGGGCGUAAAGCGUGCGCAGGCGGUUUUGUAAGUCUGUCGUGAAAAUCCCCCGGGCUCAACCUGGGAAUUGCGAUGGAGACUGCAAGGCUAGAAUCUGGCAGAGGGGGGGUAGAAUUCCACGUGUAGCAGUGAAAUGCGUAGAGAUGUGGAGGAACACCGAUGGCGAAGGCAGCCCCCUGGGUCAAGAUUGACGCUCAUGCACGAAAGCGUGGGGAGCAAACAGG
rnacentral:rRNA from 1 species